rnacentral:rRNA from 1 species
UACGGGGGGGGUAAGCGUUGUUCGGAAUUACUGGGCGUAAAGGGCUCGUAGGCGGCCAACUAAGUCAGACGUGAAAUCCCUCAGCUUAACUGGGGAACUGCGUGUGAUACUGGAUGGCUUGGAUCCGGAAGAGGGAUGCGGAAUUCCAGGUGUAGCGGUGAAAUGCGUAGAUAUCUGGAGGAACACCGGUGGCGAAGGCGGCAUCCUGGGCCGGUAUUGACGCUGAGGAGCGAAAGCCAGGGGAGCAAACGGG